rnacentral:rRNA from 1 species
CCUACGGGGCGCACCAGUGGGGAAUAUUGCACAAUGGGCGCAAGCCUGAUGCAGCCAUGCCGCGUGUGUGAAGAAGGCCUUCGGGUUGUAAAGCACUUUCAGCGGGGAGGAAGGCGUUAAGGUUAAUAACCACAGCAAUUGACGUUACCCGCAGAAGAAGCACCGGCUAACUCCGUGCCAGCAGCCGCGGUAAUACGGAGGGUGCAAGCGUUAAUCGGAAUUACUGGGCGUAAAGCGCACGCAGGCGGUCUGUCAAGUCGGAUGUGAAAUCCCCGGGCUCAACCUGGGAACUGCAUUCGAAACUGGCAGGCUAGAGUCUUGUAGAGGGGGGUAGAAUUCCAGGUGUAGCGGUGAAAUGCGUAGAGAUCUGGAGGAAUACCGGUGGCGAAGGCGGCCCCCUGGACAAAGACUGACGCUCAGGUGCGAAAGCGUGGGGAGCAAACAGGAUUAGAUACCCUUGUAGUC